AAUGGGUCAGCGACUUAUAUUCUGUAGCAAGGUUAACCGAAUAGGGGAGCCGCAGGGAAACCGAGUCUUAAUUGGGCGUUAAGUUGCAGGGUAUAGACCCGAAACCCGGUGAUCUAGCCAUGGGCAGGUUGAAGGUUGGGUAACACUAACUGGAGGACCGAACCGACUAAUGUUGAAAAAUUAGCGGAUGACCUGUGGCUGGGGGUGAAAGGCCAAUCAAACCGGGAGAUAGCUGGUUCUCCCCGAAAGCUAUUUAGGUAGCGCCUCGUGAAUUCAUCUCCGGGGGUAGAGCACUGUUUCGGCUAGGGGGCCAUCCCGGCUUACCAACCCGAUGCAAACUGCGAAUACCGGAGAAUGUUAUCACGGGAGACACACGGCGGGUGCUAACGUCCGUCGUGAAGAGGGAAACAACCCAGACCGCCAGCUAAGGUCCCAAAGUCAUGGUUAAGUGGGAAACGAUGUGGGAAGGCCCAGACAGCCAGGAUGUUGGCUUAGAAGCAGCCAUCAUUUAAAGAAAGCGUAAUAGCUCACUGGUCGAGUCGGCCUGCGCGGAAGAUGUAACGGGGCUAAACCAUG
rnacentral:rRNA from 1 species